rnacentral:rRNA from 1 species
CAACAGGUUGAUAUUCCUGUACUACCGAUAACCGUUUGAGAGAAGGGAUGACACAGUAGGAUAAGCUAAGCACACUGUUGGUUAUGUGUGCCCAAGCAUUGAGGCAGUCAAAGUAGGCAAAUCCGCUUUGAUAAUGCUGGGAUGUGAUGGGGAGCGAAAUUUAGUAGCGAAGUAGCUGAUUUCACACUGUCAAGAAAAGUCUCUAUCGAGGUUAAAGGUACCCGUACCGCAAACCGACACAGGUGGGUGAGGAGAGUAUCCUAAGGCCAGCGAGAGAACUGUUGUUAAGGAACUCGGCAAAAUGACCCCGUAACUUAGGGAUAAGGGGUGCCACCAUUAGGUGGCCGCAGAGAAUAGGCCCAAGCGACUGUUUACCAAAAACAUAGGUUUCUGCUAAGUCGCAAGACGAUGUAUAGGAGCUGACGCCUGCCCGGUGCUGGAAGGUUAAGGGGAUCUGUUAGAGUAAUCGAAGCAGUGAACUUAAGCCCCAGUAAACGGCGGCCGUAACUAUAACGGUCCUAAGGUAGCGAAAUUCCUUGUCGGGUAAGUUCCGACCCGCACGAAAGGCGUAACGAUUUGGGCACUGUCUCAACAACAGACUCGGUGAAAUUGUAAUUCCGGUGAAGAUGCCGGAUACCUGCGACAGGACGGAAAGACCCCAUGGAGCUUUACUGUAGCUUGACAUUGGGUCUUGGUACUACAUGUACAGGAUAGGUGGGAGGCUUUGAAACCAGGACGCCAGUUUUGGCGGAGCCAUCCUUGGGAUACCACCCUUGUAGUACUGGGACUCUAACCAUAGGCCAUGAAUCUGGUCUUGGGACACUGUCAGGUGGGCAGUUUGACUGGGGCGGUCGCCUCCCAAAAGGUAACGGAGGCGCUCAAAGGUUCUCUCAGUACGGUCGGAAAUCGUACGUAGAGUGUAAAGGCAAAAGAGAGCUUGAUUGCAAGACAUACAGGUCGAGCAAGGAUGAAAAUCGGACUUAGUGAUCCGGUGGUUCUGCGUGGAAGGGCCAUCGCUCAACGGAUAAAAGCUACCCUGGGGAUAACAGGCUUAUCUCCCCCAAGAGUCCACAUCGACGGGGAGGUUUGGCACCUCGAUGUCGGCUCAUCACAUCCUGGGGCUGUAGUAGGUCCCAAGGGUUGGGCUGUUCGCCCAUUAAAGUGGUACGCGAGCUGGGUUCAGAACGUCGUGAGACAGUUCGGUCCCUAUCCGUCGCAGGCGUAGGAAAUUUGAGAAGACCUGUCCUUAGUACGAGAGGACCGGGAUGGACG